rnacentral:tRNA from 1 species
GCCUCGGUAGUCUAAUUGGGUAGGACACUUGCGCGUAAAAUAGGCGAUCCGGGUUCGACUUCCAGCCGAGGUA